rnacentral:rRNA from 1 species
UACAGAGGGUGCGAGCGUUGUCCGGAAUCACUGGGCGUAAAGCGCACGUAGGCGGCUUCUUAAGUCAGGGGUGAAAUCCUGGAGCUCAACUCCAGAACUGCCUUUGAUACUGAGGAGCUCGAGUCCGGGAGAGGUGAGUGGAACUGCGAGUGUAGAGGUGAAAUUCGUAGAUAUUCGCAAGAACACCAGUGGCGAAGGCGGCUCACUGGCCCGGUACUGACGCUGAGGUGCGAAAGCGUGGGGAGCAAACAGG